rnacentral:tRNA from 1 species
GUUGCUGUGGUGUAGUGGUUAUCACGUUAGUCUUACACACUAAAGGUCCCCAGUUCGAUCCUGGGCAGCAACAUAAUUAAUUAGUUUUUAUUUAAUUGUUUUUUAAUACUUUAUUAGCCGUAUAAAUGGAAAGGUUUUUUAUUUAAUAGUUUCUACAUGGUUAUCACAGGGUUGCUGUGGUGUAGUGGUUAUCACGUUAGUCUUACACACUAAAGGUCUCCAGUUCGAUCCUGGGCAGCAACA